rnacentral:rRNA from 1 species
GACGAACGCUGGCGGCGUGCUUAACACAUGCAAGUCGAACGAAGAGCGAUGGAAGCUUGCUUCUAUCAAUCUUAGUGGCGAACGGGUGAGUAACGCGUAAUCAACCUGCCCUUCAGAGGGGGACAACAGUUGGAAACGACUGCUAAUACCGCAUACGAUCUAAUCUCGGCAUCGAGGAUAGAUGAAAGGUGGCCUCUACAUGUAAGCUAUCACUGAAGGAGGGGAUUGCGUCUGAUUAGCUAGUUGGAGGGGUAACGGCCCACCAAGGCGAUGAUCAGUAGCCGGUCUGAGAGGAUGAACGGCCACAUUGGGACUGAGACACGGCCCAGACUCCUACGGGAGGCAGCAGUGGGGAAUCUUCCGCAAUGGACGAAAGUCUGACGGAGCAACGCCGCGUGAGUGAUGACGGCCUUCGGGUUGUAAAGCUCUGUUAAUCGGGACGAAAGGCCUUCUUGCGAAUAGUUAGA